AGUGGGGAAUAUUGGACAAUGGGGGGAACCCUGAUCCAGCCAUGCCGCGUGUGUGAAGAAGGCCUUUUGGUUGUAAAGCACUUUAAGCAGUGAAGAAGACCUAACGGUUAAUACCCGUUAGCGAUGACAUUAGCUGCAGAAUAAGCACCGGCUAACUCUGUGCCAGCAGCCGCGGUAAUACAGAGGGUGCAAGCGUUAAUCGGAAUUACUGGGCGUAAAGCGAGCGUAGGUGGCUUGAUAAGUCAGAUGUGAAAUCCCCGGGCUUAACCUGGGAACUGCAUCUGAUACUGUUAAGCUAGAGUAGGUGAGAGGGAAGUAGAAUUCCAGGUGUAGCGGUGAAAUGCGUAGAGAUCUGGAGGAAUACCGAUGGCGAAGGCAGCUUCCUGGCAUCAUACUGACACUGAGGCUCGAAAGCGUGGGUAGCAAA
rnacentral:rRNA from 1 species